UAGACUUCUAUUGAACUGUUUUGGAUCAGACUAGAGACGAACAAGAGGACCCCCAAGAAGACCUAGGUGACGCCGACUGCUACCACAUCGAGGUCUUCGCCAAGAAAAAGUCCUGCAUGAGCUCCAUCAUUACUGUGUUGUGGAUUCAAAGAUCUUCUGUUGUGCUAUUAUUUUUCGGUACUGGAUAUGUGGAGGUGACUCUUGAUAGCCUUCGGAGAAGAUUGAGUUAUGUGUAGACUUCUGUUGAACCAUUUUGGGUCAGAUCAAAGAUGAACAAGAGGACCCCCAAGAAGACCAAGAUCAGAGAUACCUUGGAAGGUGAACAUUCUACUAUGCUGUACCAUUAUUUUAGCAUAAUUGACUAUGUGAAGCCUACUAUGGAGCGUCUGUAAUCUUUAGUGCAUAUGUAUCUUUAUUGUAUUGUUAUGAGUGUAAUCUUUAUAUGUACCUUUAGUGAUUGUUAUAAAUGUUGCAUGGUGUAAUUUUUAUGUGAAUUGUUUUUAUCUUUAUGAAGGUUGAUUGAUGUAAAUUAUGAAUAUUGAUCAAGUUCUUUAUCUAAUACUAAAACCUAUGUCCAUUUCUCAUGUAAUAAUUUAUUUAUCUAAUAUUUUUUGCAAGGCCUAAAUAUUAUAAUCACAUUAACUCUAUUUUCC
rnacentral:lncRNA from 1 species